UGCUAUUCUGCUUAGACAACAAGCACUUCACAACUCAUUUCUUCCAUCUCUAGAAGCAAGCUGCCACUGACUGAUAAGAAAAACAGAGAAGCCUCAAGAAGAAACCAACCCAGGAAAACUCUCCAAGACUUCAACAUGAACUGGUAGAUGCUCUGAUCGGAAUUCUAUAGAACACUUUCAUUGUCUUUUAACAAACAUUGGAUAGCUACUUAGCAUCAUGCCUCUGAUUCAGACAAAAGAUGAGCAAAGUGAGACACAGAGAAGUUAAGUGACAUACUCCAGGUCACAGAGCAAGCCAGUAGCAGAGUUGGAAAAAAAACCCAGUAGGUGUGCAGCCAACACAGUGAUGAUGAGCACAGGUAAGGUACAGAGAGA